rnacentral:rRNA from 1 species
UACGUAGGCAGCAAGCGUUGUUCGGAAUUACUGGGCGUAAAGAGUGUGUAGGCGGUGUUCUAAGUUUGUCGUGAAAUCUCCCGGCUUAACUGGGAGGGUGCGGCGACAACUGGAAUGCUAGAGGAUGGGAGAGGUAAGCGGAAUUCCUGGUGUAGCGGUGAAAUGCGUAGAUAUCAGGAGGAACACCUGUGGUGUAGACAGCUUACUGGACCAUUUCUGACGCUGAGACACGAAAGCGUGGGGAGCAAACAGG